GACACGGGGUUCGGCGGUUUUCGACUGCUCGGGUGCCGCCACGGUCGCCUCCUCAUCAUACGCUCGCUGCAGCAAGAGAUUAUUGUCAUUGCCCCCAUCACGGGCGAGGAGCACCGCGUGCAAGUUCCACCUGAGUUCAAGAGCGGCUGCUACGUCAAUGGGGCGGUGCUCUGCGCUGCUGCCGACCACAACCAUGUGCACGGAAGCUGCCACUCGAGCCCAUUCAAGGUGGUCUUGCUGUCCAUGGGCAGAUACCUUAUUGGUCCACAGAUUGCCUUAGCACGUGUUUACUAUUCGGAGACUGGCAUAUGGGGUGACCUCAUCUCAACACCGACUCCAUGUCAGCUUCAUGAUACUGGUACACAUGGGUCAUUAGUUGGUAAUGCACUUUACUGGUCGUGCGAUGAUUACAUUUUUCAGUUUGAUUUGGAAGGUCAGAGCCUAGCUUUGAUCAAAGCUCCUCCUCCUCGCACUAUAAAUGAUGCCCGUGACUGCUUUGACAUGUGUGAGGUCAUCGAGAUCAUGGAUGGCGCAUUUGGUCUUGCCAUAUUGUCUCACUAUUACUAUAACAUUCAAAUGUGGCAAAGGAAGGUUAAUUGUCAGGGUGUUGCCAAAUGGGUCCUCUGGAAGACCAUUGAUAUGCAUAACAUUCAUGGAAUCCCCCAUGGGUUUGAAGGAGAGAGUCCAGAGUUAUGUAGACUGAGAUAUGUUGAGGAUACUGAUGAUAUAUUUCUCCAUGUGGGCACCAGUGUCAAUGUGGUUCAACUUAAGUCAAUGCAAUCUAAGAAACUUUGUGAAGCCCAUUAUGUUAAUUGAUAUUAUUCUUUCAAGAGUUUCUAUAUACCAGGCACAACCAUUGUUGGUGGAUGUGAUGGAUCCCAUACAUAGGAUGACAUUCUGUUUUGAUGUGCUGAAUGGUUCACCAGGGUGAAGAAAGGGCUGCUGCAGUUUCUUUUUUAUCAAUGAGUUGGUCGUGCAUCAAUGUGGUCGGCAGUGUUAUGUUAUCUGAAAAAACUUACCAAGUGUGCACUUUAGUCUAGCUAAGUUUCUCAUGUAGUAUGAGCAAGAUGCUUUUGAAUGAAUACCCUUCUAUUAUUUCGAGUCAGAUUUCGUUGUCUUUAGCCAUGACAAUUUUUGCCUCAUGUACCGCUAAAACAUGUGUGUUUGAGUGUGCUUCUCAGCUGUGCUUUGGAAAGCA